rnacentral:lncRNA from 1 species
UGCUAAGGAUAAUCAUAAUAAAGUUUGUGUGCUAAUCAGGGCCUGCCAGCUAUGAGGCAAGGUGAGGCAACUGCUUCAGGUGGGAGGAUCCACAGGGACAGUAGAUUCCAAUGUAGGAUCUUUAUUCCCCCCCCCCUUGUGGCUGAUGUAGAUCUUGACUCACCUCUUCUUUCCUGGAGUGUGUGUGGGGCAUUUUGUGGCUCACUUCUUUUUGUGGCCAAAAGUGUCUCAGGCCAGCCCUGGUGCAUAAAAGCACUACAUUGGUGUAGGUAUUCCCAAGGCCAAACCAACAGCUGCUAUGGACCUCCUCCAGCAGAAGAGACACUAUAAACAUCUGCUGGCACGUAAGAAAAGGGAAGCCAUUAAGAACACCUGAACUUGACUUAUUCAGGCAGUUAAAUCCAAUGAUUCAGCCACAUUCUGACAUAUCACAUCUAGCCCACAAGGCUAUGGCCCAACCAUGGUGGACUGUCACAUUCCCCCAGGGACCUGGGAGGCACACUUUCAGGAUGUUUACUCGGGCAGUUCUGCUGAAAAUGGAAGAGCUAGCCAAAUGAUAGGAAAUCUGCCUAUGUGGGCUCCAGUGAUGGUGACAGAUAUUAAGAACUAGGUAGCUUAGCUAAGACUGGGGAGGGCCCCAGGGGAAGACCUAAUCCCAGCAGAGGCCAUUAAAAACAAUUUGGACUUCUGGGCCCCCACUCUGGCUUCACUCUUGACCUGCAUCAACACUCAUGGUCAAGUCUCCAAUGACUGGGGGCUUGCAAUCAUUGCCCCUAUAUAUAAAAAGCUGAUGAGAUAAAACAAGAUAUAUAGUCAACAUCUAUUUCUGUGUGGAAUGGUUCAUUUCAGUGAGAAUACAUACAUUAUAUAUUACCGGUACCUGUAAUCCAGAAACCCAGCAGGCUGCUGCUGGAUGGACAAAACACUGUUUCUUCUCCAGCAGCAGAUUGCAUUGUCGGGCUUCAGAGAGAGGAAGAGAAGCCUUCAAGUUACACUAUUCAUACUCUUUAAAAAGUGUGUUUAAGAUAGCCCUUUCUAUUUUUUAAAGAAAAGCAGAAACAUGGGCUCCAAUUUGCAAUGCACAUCUGGUUCAGAAAGCAGGACCAGUGUUAAGUUGUGGGCGAACAUGUCACAGUGAUUCUUUAAACAGCUCUUCUUUAUUCAGAUGCCAGAACAGAACUAGGCUGAGGAGCUCAGUCAGGCUGCUUAUAUAGAGUUCCAGAACAAUGCAACUGUUGCCAUUUUCUAAAACUAUCCAAUCACUGAACUUCACUUUUCGAUCCUUCAUUUGCAUAACUAUCUACAGGGUGAGAACUUCAGUACAUAACACCCCUCCCCACCGAGAUAAGGCGUUAAGUUACAAUCGUAAUGGUUUCCUUAUAUACAGCACUACACGUAAUGGUUCAAUUAGGCACAAAAGCAUAUCGGUUACAUUUCACAUACUUAGACCAACAGUGAUACAUGUCCAACAACAUAGUCCUUUAAAUAAGUUGGGCGCUUGGAAACUCUGUCAGACCGCUGGGGACUGGUAGCCAAGUCCAGGGGGCCACACAAUUCUUGCUGAGGCUGUGGUGUGACCCUAGGUGGCGUUGAAACCAAAUCCCCUGGAUCCGCUGCUGUGGGUGGAGCCUCCACAAGUGGAGUGGUCUGAGCCUGUGGUAAGUCUGGCAGACCCUCUGAAGUGGCUUGGUUCGGCUCCACGCUGGCAGUUUGCGAGGGAGGUGUAGGUGGAGCCUCGCCAUCUGUAAGUGUUUCUUCCGGAGCCACGAGCGCAGUUGGGGGCACCACGGUAGUGUCCAAGUCCCCAACCCUGCGCCUAAGCUGUCUAUGUGCCGGCGCCACAAGCGUCCGUCUUCGAGUGCCACCUGGUACAAGCGAGGUCCAGUGACUCCCACUACUGUGGCUGGCACCCAAGGAAUGUCCCCCACAUAGUUCCGGGCAAAGGCCUGGUUUCCUGGAACAAAUGACCGUGGCGCGUUGGCACAGCCUGGGGGUUCGGCCACAGCAAAGUCCGGGUGCAGCUGGUCGAGCGGUGACCUGAGGCGGCGGCCCAUAAGCAGUUCAGCAGGACUCCGCCCUGUGGCCGCAUGAGGGGUGAUGUGUUGCACGAACAAGUAUUCAGUGACCCGCUGGUGCCAGUCUCCCCGGUCCAGGCGUGCCAGUGCCUCUUUUGCUGAGCGCACCAUUCUCUCCGCUUGCCUGUUGCUGGAUGGAUGAAAUGGUGCCGUUAGGGCAUGGCGGAUGCCCAGUCCCAAAAUAUACCGCUUUAAAAGUGCCUGACGUGAACUGCGGUCCGUUGUCGGAGACAAGGACAUCAGGACACCCAUGCAUCGCAAACAGGCCUCGCAGCACCCGGAUGACGGCCUCGGUACUGGUGGAGGACAUCAGGGCCACCUCCAGCCAUUUGGAGUAGGCGUCUACUACUACCAUAAAGGUCCGGCCGUGAAAGGGGCUGGCCAGAUCAAUGUGCACCCUCGACCAGGGUGUCUUUGGCGUCUCCCAGGUGUGUCCCUUAGCUGCCGGUGGUGCAGGUCUCGAUUCUUGGCACGCUUGACAGGCAAACACCCAGGCAGUGAUGGCAUCGUCCAUGUUAGGCCACCAGACGUAACACCGAGCCAACGCCUUCAUUUUGAUGAUUCCCGGGUGGCCAACGUGCAGAGCCUCCAGGACGCGUUGACGGAGUCUUUGGGGAAUCACGACGCAGUCUCCCCACAGUGUUGUUUCAAUAUUACUGACAAUUCUAGAGCCAUUCAAAGCCAAAUCUCUCAUUUGCAAAAUCUUACACAUCACAUUAAACAGGACAUUGGAUUUUCUGGCCUCUGGGAUUCACCCAGUGGCUUAUUGCUUGGCUGCCUAACCUUACUUGGCUUCGUAGUCUUUUUCAAUAUGCUAUUGUCAUAAUUUGUAUUCUUAUCUUGCUAUGCUGCUUCCUUCAAUGCGUUCCUAGCCUCAUAAGUCUUUUCUCUCGGCUUCUCUCUCCCCCUCAGCCACCAAGUAAACUCCUUGCUGCUUACUUUGCGAAAUGGCAACACCAACAGUAAACUUUAGGGGAGAUGUGGGCGGACUUAUUUUGGGCAUGCGCUGGCAAACCACGUAUCCUGAAGUACUUUUGUCCCAUCGACCCUGGCGAACUUAUUUUGGGCAUUCGCUGGCACACCACUAAUCCUGAAGUAUUUUUGCCUUAUUUACCUAGAACGCCUCGCAAACAAGAAAAGAAAGGGGGAGAUGAAGGGAAGUUCUUUUUCUGCAGUUCUCUUACUGCACAUAACUGUGUGGCAUUGUGGGAAGUCUUGCUAUUAGAACUAUUGCUUCUUUUCUCUUGCAUUCUGGGAAGUCUCGCUUCUGCUUCUGCACAUACUGUUCCAAACACACCAAGCCUAACACACCUAGACAUUCUCUCAUUCAUCAGUUCAUUUUAAGUUCAUGACCAAAACAAUAUGGUCUGUUCUUAAUGCAUAGCUGACCACAUCUACGGAACUUGAUUAUUAUAUUCUUUCAUGUUAUGAUCAAUCAUUAGUAAUUGUUUUAGUCAUGUUAUAUUAAUCUUUAGUUAUAAUUUAAUUAGGAGGAUUCAUGCCUGUCUAGUUCUAGCUCCAUUUCUCAUCCUUUGAUCUAUCAGUGAUAAAUGGUUGUAUGUAAUUCCCGCCUUGUACCUAUGUUAACCAAUCAGCAACAAGAUGCUUUGUGUUUGUAUCAACCAAACAGCCACAAGCACACCUGUGGCAAUGUUUGUAAUAUUCAAUAAAAGAGAGUUCCCGGGGCUUGUCCCGGCAGACGCCUCUCAUAUGACACCUACCACUCGUCUGUCGUGAUUUUCAACCCAACAGACAGCUGCGAUGAGCCGAGAGUUCAUGUUGUCUGGUUGCGAACGGUUGGAACUCUGAUGCAAAAGGCCCUUGUGGCCACCCCCUCCACACCCAGUUGAGCAUACGGCUGAUGGUGCGAUCCUCGGCAGAUGCGGAGGCCACAGUGGCAGCCGAUACAGGGGCUGCUGGAAGAUCCUCAAUCAGGAGGAGCGAUGAAACUGGAGCCGGGUCUUCCACAAACACUGGAAGAGGGCAACGGCUGAGGGCAUCGGCAUGGCCCAUCGAUUUCCCCGGGCAAUGGACGAGCCGGUAGUGGUAGGCAGCCAGGAAAACAGUCUAUCGCAGCAUGCGCGGCGAGAGGACCGGUGGAGUUGGACCAUCACCGGCAAGGAGCGGCUUGUGGUCAGUGAUGAGGUCAAAAGUCCUGCCAUAGAGGUAUUCAUGGAACCUCUUCACUCCAGCCACAAGUGCCAGUGCCUCCUUAUCGAGCUGGCUGUAAUUCCGUUCAGUCAGAGAUAGCGUCCUGGAAAAGUAGGCGAGCGGUGCUUCUCUUCCGUCUGGAAAACGGUGACUAAGGACAGCGCCGAUGCCAAAAGGUGAGGCGUCGCAGGCAAGGACCAGUGGCCUGGCUUCACUGUACUGUAUCAGCACACUGUCCGAUGAAAGGAGAGCCUUGACCGCGUUGAAGGCCGCCGUCUCCCGAUGACCCCAGGACCAAGGCGUCUUUGUGCUGAGGAGUCGGUGAAGAGGCUCAGCCACUGUGGCUUUGUGGGGCAAGAACAUGUUAUAAAAGUUCAGCAGCCCCAGGAACGCCUGCAACUCCGUCUUGUUCUUUGGGAUGGGGGCCUGCUGGAUAGCGUGGAUCUUGGAUGUGGUCGGGUGAAGGCCGGAGGUGUCGAUAAGAUAGCCCAGGAACUCCACCUGUGGAACAGCGAUCUGGCACUUCUUCCUCUUUGCCUUGAGCCUGGCCUCUUGGAACCUGGUCAGCACGGCACGGAGGCGCUCAAACACUGCUGGUGUGAGUCUGCGGGCACUAAGACGUCAUCAAAAUAUGGUACCACGCCCGGAAGCCCUUGCAGGAGACGCUCCAUAAGGCUUUGGAAGAUGCCAGGAGCCACACUCACCCCGAACUGCAACCGGCGGCAACGGAAUGCCCCUCGGUGGGUGACGAUUGUCUGGGCAUCAUCGACGGGCAGUUGUUGAUAGGCUUGGGCAAGGUCCAGCUUAGCGAAGACCUUUUAAAAAAUAAUAAUAAUAAUAUUUAUUAAUUUUCAACCAUUUAAACACAACAAAACAGAUAGACA